rnacentral:rRNA from 1 species
UACAGAGGGUGCAAGCGUUAAUCGGAAUUACUGGGCGUAAAGCGCGCGUAGGUGGUUCGUUAAGUUGGAUGUGAAAUCCCCGGGCUCAACCUGGGAACUGCAUUCAAAACUGUCGAGCUAGAGUAUGGUAGAGGGUGGUGGAAUUUCCUGUGUAGCGGUGAAAUGCGUAGAUAUAGGAAGGAACACCAGUGGCGAAGGCGACCACCUGGACUGAUACUGACACUGAGGUGCGGAAGCGUGGGGAGCAAACAGG